rnacentral:rRNA from 1 species
UACGUAGGGGGCAAGCGUUGUCCGGAAUCAUUGGGCGUAAAGAGCGUGUAGGCGGCCAGAUAAGUCCGCUGUGAAAACUCGAGGCUCAACUUCGAGCUGUCGGUGGAAACUUUCUGGCUAGAGUCCGGAAGAGGAGAAUGGAAUUCCUGGUGUAGCGGUGAAAUGCGUAGAUAUCAGGAAGAACACCCGUGGCGAAGGCGGUUCUCUGGGACGGUACUGACGCUGAGACGCGAAAGCGUGGGGAGCGAACAGG